rnacentral:misc_RNA from 1 species
CGGCGCAUCGAGUCGGCGCGAACGCGCAAGAGAGCGACAAGGAGAACAAGGAAGAAACAAUCGUGUGAGUGACUGCGCGCACACGCGCUCACCGAAGCAAGAGCGCAGAGGCAAGUGGCUGCUGCUGAGCGCCAUGCUCCGAAUCGGCCGCACGCUUCUGGCGGAGGUCACGACCAUCAACAGUACCACUGCGUCUGUGAGCGGCCGUCUCAUUCGGAUACGAAAGAAGAGCAAGUGGAUCGAUCGGCGCAGCACGCGCGUACCGCACAACGGCAAGGAUAUUUGGUACUUUGGCGAUCAGCCCAGCUGCGCGCUGUGCCACAUACGGUUCCGCUACAAGCAAGACUAUGAGGCGCACAAAGAGAGCGAGCUGCACGUGAACCGUCUUCGGUGGGUCGAGACGAUGAACUGGUGGAAGGAAACGGGCGAGCCAGCCUACCUCAAGGCGUCCAACGAGCAGUGGGAGUGGUUUGAGCAGCAUGUUCUGCCCACCAAGGCGCACGAGAUGGGCUGCACCCUGGACGAGGCGCGGCGCGUGUACCGGCAAGCCACCAUGACCGAGACCCCAACGUGGCACCGACCGCUUCAAUGCCCCACAGUGAAGCAGGAGGUGCAGGAGCCUCGUGAUCAGCGGUGGCCUGCUUCUCCUAAGUGGUAACGCUUGUGUGCAUGAGAAAGGAGCGUGUAGGUUGGUGUUUGUGGGGCGUGGGGUCGACCUCAGCGCACCCCGUACAUAGACGCAUUGAGAGGCAGUGUGACACCCGUGCGCCUCUGUCGGUCUUGUGCAUGUGCGUGUGCGCGCAGCAGAGCCCCUGCCCUCAGGCUCCUGCCUCACGCCUGUCCGUUUUCUUGUCUCUUGCGUUAACCGAUGCUCGUGCCGCGUAUGGACGUUGCGCGCUGCCGUUUGUUCUGCUACUUACUCACACAAGGCUCACGAGCGCACCAGCAACCUGCCCGAAAGGAAAUGCUUCGAUUAGACGGGCACGUACAACAAGAUUCCGUACAACUGCAAGCUAGGAGUGAGCGGGUGUGGUGACUUCCUCAGCAGGUCGAGGGGCGCACUGUAGUGCGACGUUGGAAAGGUGGUGGUGGUGGAAGGGAAGGAUGCGUGCUGGACGCGGUGGCCGUGACAUAAUCUGUGCGGUGCGCCUCGAGCCAUCGGAAAAAAGAAAGCGACCUACCUUUGAGGGUGCUCACUUGCUCUCCCCCCCCCCCCCCCCCCAAACACCUCAUGUGAGGUCUGCUGCACACCGAACGCUGGUGCAUCCUCGCACAGAUGUACGUGCGUAUGUCUACGCGCGCCGCUAUACUCGUUGUUCACUGCGUGCUUUUCACUUGUUGCCUACUCCCAUCUCGUGCUGUACUCUACUGUCCCACGGGGUGUGCUGGCAGCAAGCGCGCAAAGGACGAUCGACCCUGUUUGCGUGUGUGUCUGCCCGCGUGCGCCUGUGCUGCGGAAGUAUAUUCCAUGAGCGAGGCAUCCGAGGCCAGGGGUACUUUCAAGAACUGGCUAAAUCGGAAGCGCACACUUGCAUUUCUCUGCGGGCACAUCCGCAAGCGACUUUCCAACGAGCCCACCUCUCCUCUCCUUUUCUUUCCGUUCCACGGCUGCUGCCGCCUUUACCUCUUGGCUCCCCCCUCUCUUUCUCUCUCACACACACACACACACACGUGUGCAG